UUAAAAGGCAGUAAUUCAAGUGCCUUAAAAUCAUUUUUACACAGGAACGUAACGUCAAAUUAAGUAGAAAACAAUGAAGUUGUUCUUGGUUUGCCUUCUUCUGCCAGUGGCUCUUGCUGCACCAUUAGAAGAUUCGAGGAGAUUCAUUUUCGGUACCUCUACCGUAGAUAGCCUGUGUAAGUGCUAGAUAAAUUAAUUGCAAAAUAUCUAUCCUUUA